GCGGAAGGCCGGGUGACCGCUUGCGCCGGUCCUUAGGGGCGGGCGCGGGAGGAAAGUCCGGACUCCCCGAAGCAACGGUGCCGGGUAACGCCCGGGCGGGGCAACCCGACGGACAGCGCCACAGAGAACAGACAGCCGCGCCCCGGCGUGGCAAUGGUGAAACGGUGGGGUAGUGGCCCACCGGGGGGCGGGCAACCGCCCUCGCAUGGCAAGCCCCACCGGGAGCAAUGCCGAAUAGGGACCGCGUCUGCCGCAAGGCAGGGGGUGGCUUUGGCCCCAGCAGGUCCGGGUUGGCAGCUAGAGGCCCCGUGGCAACACGGGGUCGAGAGGAAUGGUCACCGAACGCCGGGGCGACCCGGCGGGAACAGAAUCCGGCUUACAGGCCUUCCGCGCAC
rnacentral:RNase_P_RNA from 2 species